rnacentral:rRNA from 1 species
CAUAGGUUAAUGAGGCGAACCGGGGGAACUGAAACAUCUAAGUACCCCGAGGAAAAGAAAUCAACCGAGAUUCCCCCAGUAGCGGCGAGCGAACGGGGAGGAGCCCAGAGCCUGAAUCAGCAUGUGUGUUAGUGGAAGCGUCUGGAAAGGCGCGCGAUACAGGGUGACAGCCCCGUACACAAAAGCGCAUGUGCUGUGAGCUCGAUGAGUAGGGCGGGACACGUGGUAUCCUGUCUGAAUAUGGGGGGACCAUCCUCCAAGGCUAAAUACUCCUGACUGACCGAUAGUGAACCAGUACCGUGAGGGAAAGGCGAAAAGAACCCCGGCGAGGGGAGUGAAAAAGAACCUGAAACCGUGUACGUACAAGCAGUGGGAGCACCCUUUGGGGUGUGACUGCGUACCUUUUGUAUAAUGGGUCAGCGACUUAUAUUCUGUAGCAAGGUUAACCGAAUAGGGGAGCCGGAGGGAAACCGAGUCUUAAUUGGGCGUUAAGUUGCAGGGUAUAGACCCGAAACCCGGUGAUCUAGCCAUGGGCAGGUUGAAGGUUGGGUAACACUAACUGGAGGACCGAACCGACUAAUGUUGAAAAAUUAGCGGAUGACCUGUGGCUGGGGGUGAAAGGCCAAUCAAACCGGGAGAUAGCUGGUUCUCCCCGAAAGCU